rnacentral:rRNA from 1 species
GACGAACGCUGGCGGCGUGCUUAACACAUGCAAGUCGAACGGAAAGGCCCUGCUUUUGUGGGGUGCUCGAGUGGCGAACGGGUGAGUAACACGUGAGUAACCUGCCCUUGACUUUGGGAUAACUUCAGGAAACUGGGGCUAAUACCGGAUAGGAGCUCCUGCUGCAUGGUGGGGGUUGGAAAGUUUCGGCGGUUGGGGAUGGACUCGCGGCUUAUCAGCUUGUUGGUGGGGUAGUGGCUUACCAAGGCUUUGCCGGGUAGCCGGCCUGAGAGAGUGACCGGCCACAUGGGGACUGAGAGACGGCCCAGACUGCUACGGGAGGCAGCAGUGGGGAAUAUUGCACAAUGGGCGGAAGCCUGAUGCAGCAACGCCGCGUGCGGGAUGACGGCCUUCGGGUUGUAAACCGCUUUCGCCUGUGACGAAGCGUGAGUGACGGUAAUGGGUAAAGAAGCACCGGCUAACUACGUG